UACGUAGGGGGCAAGCGUUGUCCGGAAUUAUUGGGCGUAAAGAGCGUGUAGGCGGCUAGAUAGGUCCGUUGUGAAAACUCGAGGCUCAACCUCGAGACGUCGAUGGAAACCAUCUGGCUAGAGUCCGGAAGAGGAGAGUGGAAUUCCUGGUGUAGCGGUGAAAUGCGCAGAUAUCAGGAAGAACACCCGUGGCGAAGGCGGCUCUCUGGUACGUGACUGACGCUGAGACGCGAAAGCGUGGGGAGCAAACAGG
rnacentral:rRNA from 1 species